GGUUAAGCGACUAAGCGUACACGGUGGAUGCCCUGGCAGUCAGAGGCGAUGAAGGGCGUGCUAAUCUGCGAUAAGCGCCGGUAAGGUGAUAUGAACCGUUAUAACCGGCGAUACCCGAAUGGGGAAACCCAGUGUGAUUCGUCACACUAUCAUUAACUGAAUCCAUAGGUUAAUGAGGCGAACCGGGGGAACUGAAACAUCUAAGUACCCCGAGGAAAAGAAAUCAACCGAGAUUCCCCCAGUAGCGGCGAGCGAACGGGGAGGAGCCCAGAGCCUGAAUCAGCAUGUGUGUUAGUGGAAGUGUCUGGAAAGGCGCGCGAUACAGGGUGACAGCCCCGUACACAAAAGCGCAUGUGCUGUGAGCUCGAUGAGUAGGGCGGGACACGUGGUAUCCUGUCUGAAUAUGGGGGGACCAUCCUCCAAGGCUAAAUACUCCUGACUGACCGAUAGUGAACCAGUACCGUGAGGGAAAGGCGAAAAGAACCCCGGCGAGGGGAGUGAAAAAGAACCUGAAACCGUGUACGUACAAGCAGUGGGAGCACAGGUUUACCUG
rnacentral:rRNA from 1 species